rnacentral:rRNA from 1 species
GACGAACGCUGGCGGCGUGCCUAAUACAUGCAAGUCGAACGCUUCUUUCCUCCCGAGUGCUUGCACUCAAUUGGAAAGAGGAGUGGCGGACGGGUGAGUAACACGUGGGUAACCUACCCAUCAGAGGGGGAUAACACUUGGAAACAGGUGCUAAUAUCGCAUAACAGUUUAUGCCGCAUGGCAUAAGAGUGAAAGGCGCUUUCGGGUGUCGCUGAUGGAUGGACCCGCGGUGCAUUAGCUAGUUGGUGAGGUAACGGCUCACCAAGGCCACGAUGCAUAGCCGACCUGAGAGGGUGAUCGGCCACACUGGGACUGAGACACGGCCCAGACUCCUACGGGAGGCAGCAGUAGGGAAUCUUCGGCAAUGGACGAAAGUCUGACCGAGCAACGCCGCGUGAGUGAAGAAGGUUUUCGGAUCGUAAAACUCUGUUGUUAGAGAAGAACAAGGACGUUAGUAACUGAACGUCCCCUGACGGUAUCUAACCAGAAAGACACGGCUAACUACGUG